GGCAGUGAGACUGCGGGGGAUAAGCUUCGUAGUCGAGAGGGAAACAGCCCAGAUCAUCAGCUAAGGCCCCUAAGCGUGCGCUAAGUGGGAAAGGAUGUGGAGUCGCGGUGACAACCAGGAGGUUGGCUUAGAAGCAGCCAUCCUUGAAAGAGUGCGUAAUAGCUCACUGGUCAAGUGGUUCUGCGCCGACAAUGUAGCGGGGCUCAAGCGUACCGCCGAAGCUGUGGCAACAACACGCAAUGCUGGCACCAGGAACUGGAUGUCGGUGUGUUGUUGGGUAGGGGAGCGUCCUGCACGAGGUGAAGCCUGGAGGGAACUUCUGGUGGAUUGUGUGGGAGUGAGAAUGCAGGCAUGAGUAACGAAUCUGCGGUGAGAAUCCGCAGCGCCGAUUGACUAAGGGUUCCAGGGCUAGGUUUAUCCGCCCUGGGUUAGUCGGGUCCUAAGGCGAGGCCGACAGGCGUAGUCGAUGGACAACCAGUUGAUAUUCUGGUACCGCGUUAUGACCGCCCAUGCUGAAGUCAUUGUGCUAACCAAUUUGCUCACGCCGCCUCUAAGCCUUCGGGUUUGAGAGUGUGUGUGGGUCUUGGGGCCCCGGUGAUUGUAGGCAAGCGUGUUAACAGGGGUGACGCAGACAGGUAGCUGCAGUGCGCCGAUGGUUGUGCGUAUUUAAGGUUGUGGCCCGCCUCCCAGGCAAAUCCGGGGGGCACUGUGGGUGAGAACUGAUGAGGGACACACGCGUGUGUGGACUUGUGGUGAUCCUAAGCUGCCGAGAAAAGCCUCGACGUGAGGGCAUGACGCGCCCGUACCCUAAACCGACUCAGGUGGUCAGGUAGAGUAUACCGAGGCGUUCGAGUGAAUCGUGGUUAAGGAACUCGGCAAAAUUCCUCCGUAACUUCGGGAUAAGGAGGACCCCGUGACUUCCCCGCGCCAUUGCGUGUGGGUGGGGUUGUGGGGUCGCAGAGAAUAGGGAGAAGCGACUGUUUAUCAAAAACACAGGUGCGUGCGAAGCCGUAAGGCGAUGUAUACGCACUGACGCCUGCCCGGUGCUGGAAGGUUAAGAGGAACCGUCAACACCCCCCGGGGUGUGAAGCGGUGAAUUUAAGCCCCAGUAAACGGCGGUGGUAACUAUAACCAUCCUAAGGUAGCGAAAUUCCUUGUCGGGUAAGUUCCGACCUGCACGAAUGGCGUAACGACUUCUCCGCUGUCUCAACCGCGAACUCGGUGAAAUUGCAGUACGAGUAAAGAUGCUCGUUUCGCGCAGAAGGACGGAAAGACCCCGGGACCUUUACUAUAGCUUGGUAUUGGUGUUCGCUUGGACUUGUGUAGGAUAGGUGGGAGACUGUGAAGCUGCCGCGCCAGCGGUGGUGGAGUCGUCGUUGAAAUACCAUUCUGGUUCAAGCGGUCACCUCAACCUUGGCCCGUGAUCCGGGUUGGGGACAGUGCCUGGUGGGUAGUUUAACUGGGGCGGUUGCCUCCUAAAAUGUAACGGAGGCGCUCAAAGGUUCCCUCAGCCUGGUUGGUAAUCAGGUGGCGAGUGCAAGUGUACAAGGGAGCUUGACUGUGAGACCGACGGGUCGAGCAGGUGCGAAAGCAGGAACUAGUGAUCCGGCCAUGGCACGUGGGUGCGUGGUCGCUCAACGGAUAAAAGGUACCCCGGGGAUAACAGGCUGAUCUUGCCCAAGAGUCCAUAUCGACGGCAUGGUUUGGCACCUCGAUGUCGGCUCGUCGCAUCCUGGGGCUGGAGUCGGUCCCAAGGGUUGGGCUGUUCGCCCAUUAAAGCGGUACGCGAGCUGGGUUCAGAACGUCGUGAGACAGUUCGGUCCCUAUCCUCUGUGCGCGCAGGAAAUUUGAGAAGGGCCGUCCCUAGUACGAGAGGACCGGGAUGGACGAACCUCUGGUGUGCCAGUUGUACCGCCAGGUGCAUGGCUGGUUGGCUACGUUCGGAAGGGAUAACCGCUGAAAGCAUCUAAGCGGGAAGCCUGCUUCAAGAUGAGAUUUCCACGCCCCCUCCGUGGGGUGAGAGGCCCCCGCCAGACUAGCGGGUCGAUAGGCCAGAGGUGGAAGCACAGCAAUGUGCUCGCGAGCCGACUGGUACUAAUGGGCCAACACUAAACAAC
rnacentral:rRNA from 1 species